CUUCCUUCUCUUUCCCUAAUUCCCUUCUCUUCUUUCUUCUGUUCUGAUUCUUUCUUGACUCCCCAGCCGCCCGCCCCUCCCUUCCCUUUCGAAAACUUGAGUCCGCCAGCCGUGAAGUGAAGCCACCGUCGCCAAAAAUGCCCUAGUUCGGUAGUUCCCUCGUGAAGUGAAGUGACCACCCAGUCAUGAAGUGAAGUGAGUCCACUAUCAAAAACGCCCAAUCGUGAAGGCACUGUCGAAAACUGCCCAGUCGCGACCGCCCAGCCGUGAAGCCACUACCGAAAACGCCGCCCAGUCGUGAAGCCACCGCCAUCUGCCAGCCGAGCCCGACUCCUGUCCUAUUACAAAAACUUGAGUCUAGUCCACUGCCGAAAACGCCCUAGUCGUGAAUUUGGUACUAGCAUUGGAAAAGAAAUGGUUAAACAUUUAACAAUUGUUUUAAAAGAUACAUACGAUUCUGAUGAGGAUGGCAUGGUGACUAAGGAAUGAAUAAUACUCAUAACUAAAGAUGGGAUGAUACCAAGAAAGGAGAAAGAUUUGAUUGUGAAGUCAUCAUUGAAGAGAGAAAGAUGAGUUUUAUUAAAUUUUAAGUUGUAAACUUAUUUGGAUGUAUAAGACGUUUACCUUUAAUUGACUUCUUUAAUCAAACUUUAUUGAAUUUUAAGUUGUAAACUUAUUUAAUGGAUUUGUUAG